rnacentral:rRNA from 1 species
GACAGAGGGUGCAAACGUUUGUUCGGAAUUACUGGGCGUAAAGCGCGUGUAGGCGGCAGGGCAUGUCGGAUGUGAAAUCCCGUGGCUCAACCACGGAAGUGCACCCGAAACUGCCCAGCUUGAGUCUCGGAGAGGAAGGCGGAAUGCUUGGUGUGAGAGGUGAAAUUCGUAGAUAUACAAGCGGAACACCGGUGGCGAAGGCGGACCUUCUUGGACGAUGACUGACGCUGAGACGCGAAAGCGUGGGGAGCGAACAGG